UUGUGCGCGACUGCAGAAAAGCAAAGUCGACGUGGCUUAUUUUAUUUCUUACUUGGCUUUGCUUUUUCACAGAACGUCCCACACAACUCUCUUCGGCAAGGAAAAACGACGAAGCUAGGGCACGUCGUCCUCGCCGCGAAGUUGUUCUCUCGGCCGCGAAGCUUCGCCGCGAAGCUGUUCUCUCGGCCGCAAAGCUUCGUAGCGAAGCUAGGGUAGCUAGGGUAGCCUGGCAACUCUCAAAGCGACGAAGCGAAGCUCUACAUUCUCGAAUCUUCCAGAUCGAGCUCUCUUCGCCACACCAAAGGGACGAAGAGUUAGGGCACGCCGGCCUCGCCAACGCGGAACUAGGGCACGAAGCUAGGGCGAUCUCUGUCGGCAAACCUCCGACGCGAAGCCAGGGCACGAAGCUUCCAGAUCGAGCUCGUCACCGCCUCGCGCAUACGAGGACACCUCUAUAUUUUACAGGAAACUUGCAAAACUUCGACUAUUUAUAUCCAAUCCAUGGGAAAAACAUAUGUUGUAUUUGUUGGACGUGAACCGGGAAUUUAUGAAACAUGGGCAGAAGCUUCUGAUCAUGUUAUUCGCUUUAAGGGCGCUAUACACAAAUCUUUCAAAAGUAGAGAGGAGGCAAAAAAAGCUUUUGAGGCAUACGUAGAUAAAAAAUCUGCACCAACUUCCUUUGCACCAAGUCGAAAUGAAAUAUCAUGUGCAACUUCAAGUUCAAGUUCAAAUUUAGAGAAAAAACUU